UACCUGCAGCUCAAGUAGUGACCGCUAUUAUUGGGCCUAAAACGUUCGUAGCCGGUUUGGUAAAUGCCUGGGUAAAUAGUGUAGCUUAACUAUACGAAUUCCGGGUAGACUGCCAAACUUGAGACCGGGAGAGGCUAGAGGUACUCCUGGGGUAGAGGUGAAAUUCUGUAAUCCUGAGGGGACCACCAGUGGCGAAGGCGUCUAGCUAGAACGGGUCUGACGGUGAGGAACGAAGCCCUGGGGCGCGAACCGGAUUAGAUACCCCAGUA
rnacentral:rRNA from 1 species